rnacentral:rRNA from 1 species
UACGGAGGGUCCAAGCGUUAUCCGGAAUCAUUGGGUUUAAAGGGUCCGUAGGCGGUUUUGUAAGUCAGUGGUGAAAGCCCAUCGCUCAACGGUGGAACGGCCAUUGAUACUGCAAGACUUGAAUUAUUGGGAAGUAACUAGAAUAUGUAGUGUAGCGGUGAAAUGCUUAGAGAUUACAUGGAAUACCAAUUGCGAAGGCAGGUUACUACUAAUGAAUUGACGCUGAUGGACGAAAGCGUGGGUAGCGAACAGG